AAAUAAUUAAUUAAACAACAUAGUCGCUUUAAAUACUACAAAAAUUACAAAAAAAAAAUGCUUUCACUUUAACUGACAAGUAUGGGAGUUUUAAUCACAGUUACAAACUCUAAUUUUUUUUUUUAUGGCAAUAGUGGACAAUAAAUUUGAUAAACAAACUAGAACAAUUUGACCAAUAUACAUAAAGAUCUAAGUUCAAGAGGAUGUAGAGUUGAUGGAAGAGAUAGAUGGCAAAGUCAAGAACAAAAGCCAAGAAGAACAACAACAAAGGCUCAGUGAUGACAUUAUUGCUAGAUCCAAGCUUUUGGAAGUUUGAGUGAAGCUUGAUCGCCAUGAAUGACUUCUUCAUAACCCACCUUCAAAACCCAGCUUAUGUUAACAGAUCGAUUCAUUGGAUGAGACAGUCGUGUAUGUGAGGGUAUGAGAGCAAAGAGACUUGUUGUUGUACUGUUGGGAAUGAGGCAGCUGCGUGGAGACGGGAGAAAACAACUGCUGCGGUGGAGCUUGUGGCAACGGCUGGCAGCUUGAAGACGAGAGAGAAUGAGUUGCGAUGAGGGAGAAAGGAAAGCAGUGUACUGAGAAAGAAAUGAAAGAGCCAGACGCGUGAACUUAGGACGCGUGAGGUACUCUUUGCACUCAUGCUCUUCUUUGUGUGAAUAUCGGCAUUGUUAUACGUAACCUUUUGUUUU
rnacentral:lncRNA from 1 species